rnacentral:rRNA from 1 species
AUUGAACGCUGGCGGCAUGCUUUACACAUGCAAGUCGAACGGUAACAGGCCUUCGGGUGCUGACGAGUGGCGAACGGGUGAGUAAUGCAUCGGAACGUACCCAGAGGUGGGGGAUAACGCAGCGAAAGCUGUGCUAAUACCGCAUGUGAUCUGAGGAUGAAAGCGGGGGACCGAGCAGCAAUGUUUGGCCUCGCGCCUUUGGAGCGGCCGAUGUCGGAUUAGCUAGUUGGUGGGGUAAAGGCCUACCAAGGCGACGAUCCGUAGCUGGUCUGAGAGGACGACCAGCCACACUGGGACUGAGACACGGCCCAGACUCCUACGGGAGGCAGCAAUGGGGAAUUUUGGACAAUGGGCGCAAGCCUGAUCCAGCAAUGCCGCAUGCGGGAAGAAGGCCUUCGGGUUGUAAACCGCUUUUGGCAGGAACGAAACGGUGUCCGCUAAUACCGGGCGCUAAUGACGGUACCUGCAGAAUAAGCACCGGCUAACUACGUG